AUUGAACGCUGGCGGCAGGCCUAACACAUGCAAGUCGAGCGAGCGGCGGCCGGGUGAGUAAUGUCUGGGAAACUGCCUGAGGGAGGGGGAUAACUACUGGAAACGGUAGCUAAUACCGCAUACCAUCAGAUGUGCCCAGAUGGGGGUGGCUGGUAGGUGGGGUACAGGCUCACCUAGGAGACGAACACUAGCUGGUCUGAGAGGAUGACCAGCCACACUGGAACUGAGACACGGUCCAGACUCCUACGGGAGGCAGCAGUGGGGAAUAUUGCACAAUGGGCGCAAGCCGGAUGCAGCCAUGCCGCGUGUGUGAAGAAGGCCUUCGGGUUGUAAAGCACUUUCAGCGGGGAGGCGUUACCCGCAGAAGAAGCACCGGCUAACUCCGUGCCAGCAGCCGCGGUAAUAC
rnacentral:rRNA from 1 species